rnacentral:lncRNA from 1 species
CUACGCCCAGCGUCCUCCCCCCACCCCCUGUCCCGGGUAUGAACUCCCCCACACACACCCUUCUACUGCGGGUCCCCUGCCCCCGCGCAAUUCGCAAUUCGGAGAGGCAGCCCCCCGCGGAGAGGAGGGCCCCAAAUCAUGCCAUCCGCCCCUGAGGGCGCCUCGGGGAGCUCCAAGGGCCUGGGAAUGGGGCCAAUGAGUAUGGAGAUAGAGUUAGGGGGAGCUACCCGCUCGUGCGUCUCCAAAUUGGGGGGCCGUGGUGAGAAGGACCUCUUUCCUGGGUUUGAAUAUUGGGAACCUUCUCCUCGAAGAUGAAGUCCAGAGAUGAGAUGACCUCAGGUUCUGGGGAGGAGGGAGAACCAGCCGACUCCCCGAGAGCUGGGGUACCCCCUCGGGUCCCGGGCCGCUGAAUCUCCAAGUGUACCUCUCUGGGGCUUUACAGAAAAUGAGUGUAGGCCUUUCCGGGACGGUGUGUCCGUGUGUGUUUCUUCACUGUUUGUUUAAACUCUUGGGAGUUCCAGGAUCUUAUCUUGUUUGGGGCUCACAAUUUGUACCUCAGGCAGAGACUUUAUUGGUUUUACAAACACGGAAAAAGAGAGGCUCUGGAGUCCUGGAAUUUGCCCGUACCUGAGGAAUCAGUUAGGGACUAGAGGUCCCAGCCCCCAGCUCGGUACUCUAUCCUUUUCCAUAGCUCGUGCGCACACGCGCGCGCGCGCGCACACACACACACACACAUAAAUGGGAUAUUCCAGGAGAAGAAAAUGGGCAGGGCUUGCUGAGCACUGAAACGUGGGCUGUGUUCAUCACUGCCAUGUUCAACUACUGAAAUACUACAAGCUGGAUGGGCUCCUCCCUAAUUGACAGGUAGCUAUGAGCCCUGAGCAGACCUGUGCCCUUGAGGCAGGGCCCUGAGUGAGUUCCAGAAAGGAGAAAAUCAACUCUAGGUAAGUAACUGGGGAGGUCUCUGAAGAUGGACCAUGGCGCUGAGCCUGAAGGAUGAAGGAAGCCAGAGCUGGGACGGCAGCCUGGGUAGGGGGUCAGUGGAGACAGGAGCUGGGUGGCUUCCUGUGAGCUGCCCUCUUCUAGGUACCAGGGGCACAGCCAGGGACAGGACAUCACAGCCCAAGGGAGCUGACACUCCAGUGGGGAAGUUUAUCCCAAGGAUGAACAGGACUAGAAUGUCAAGAAAGAUAAUUUUAGGUGGUUUUUCAAAUGGAAUAGGAGCCUGAGUCAGCUGUGAGCAUGAGGCUGGCCUCCAAAAGGUACUUGAACAUUCAUUAAAUUAAUGUGUCAACAUCAUGCCUCUUCCCUUCGCUUCUCUUGGCUCUGGCCCUCCCUGACUGGUCCCUGUGCCACCUCCUUGCCCAUCAAUCCUGGUUUUACACUUUUUGAUCCAGUGAUGCUGUACUGCUACAGGUCCUGGCUUCACCCCGUCACCUCCAGGCCUCUGCUCAUUCUGUUCCCUUUGAAAUGCCCUUCCCUCCCCUGCUCCCUGCCCUUCACCUUAACCCAGCUUACACCUGCCCAAUCAUGUCCAUCAUAAGAGAACCUUCUCUGAGAGCUGUAGGCCCAGCUGAGAGCCUGUCUCAUACAAUUCCCAUGAUAUUCAGUACAAUCUCAUAAUGUCCCAUGAACCCGGUAUCUUGUUUCCACGUUGCAUUAUCAUUAUGUUUACUUGAUGAUUUCCCCCCAUAAACUGUGAACUACUUGAGAAUGAGGGCUGUGUCUCGUUAAUUUCUCUCUCUGAGCACUUAGCACAGAGCCUGGCUCGGGGAAAUCUCCCAAUGUUGAGUGAAUGGAU